AAUAAUGGCUGAUGCUGAGGACAGAGCUUUGUCCAUCUUGUGCAGAGUGUUUGUGUCCCCCAGGCUCUGGGGGAAAACUCCAGUGGGGAAAACCAAGAGUUCACAGACAACGUGGAGGCUUCAAUUCACCCAUCAUCAUCAUCAUCAUCAUCAUCAUCAAUUCAUGAUGAGCACGGGGCUUCCCCAGAGCUGCCUUUGGUGGCAAAGCAACAAAACUGAGGCUGGAUAAUCAGGGAUUCCUGAGAGAAAAAGGGGAAGGUGCAACCCCUGAGCACCCCCUGAAAGCAGAGGAAUAACCCCAGAGCACUCACAGCACUCCAGCCACAACUCUCAGGCUUUGAGGAAACAAAACUGCCUCAAAUUGGGCCUUUCCUGCAGGUUUUUGUUUGGCUGUUUGUUUUUUCCCUUUUGCAGAUCGCUGUUUUCAUACAGGGAUUUGGUUAUGGAAAGGCUCAUUCAUGCAAUUCAAAGAAAUUUAGCUAAAAGACACAAUUUUUAUGUAUUUAUUUGUUUUUUUUUUCCUUUGAGCUGGUGCUGCAAGGCUGGAAAUGUAACUGGGUGCACCCUGGGAUCAUCUGGGUGAGGACUGAGGGGAGGCUCCUUCACCCUGGAGAGCCCCCAGCACUGGCAGAAGCUCCAGUGAAUAACAGAAAUUAUUUUUUCCUGCCUGUUUUACAUCUCCCAGAUGGUGAAGACAGCCUGCCCCAGAUCUGUCAUGGUAUCAUGCUACCAUCACACACUCCUGAAGCGAUCAGGGGGUGAAAGAUUCUGCAAAUCAAGUUAUUUUUGUAGUUUUAAUUGUUCUUCUAACUGGCAGCUCAUGUUGGCUGUAUUUUAAGGAGCAAAGAUUUCAGCUAAAGCAUUACUAUGUCAUUAACCAGUCCAUUGAAUAUUCAUGAUUUACUGGAUUUUUUUCCCCCCACAGAAGGAGAGAAGUAAUUAUUUUGGCUAGCACUUGAAAAGUGUGUGUGUGCUGUUCACAGAACUCCAUCAGAAUGGGCAAAAAUAGAAUUUUUCUAUUAGACAUGCAAACUGAUCUGCUCUGCCCAAUACUGACACAUAUCCUUUAGUUCUUCUCUAUUUAGUAAAAAUGUUUCAAGCUAUUUUUUUUUGGUGGGAUGUAAUGAAAAAGGGAAAAAAAAAAAAAAA